rnacentral:rRNA from 1 species
CCCUUAGAUGUUCGGGGCCGCACGCGCGCUACACUGAAGGAAUCAGCACGUCUUUCUCCUUGUCCGAAAGGACUGGGUAACCCGCUGAACCUCCUUCGUGCUAGGGAUUGGGGCUUGUAAUUCUUCCCCAUGAACGAGGAAUUCCCAGUAAGCGCGAGUCAUAAGCUCGCGUUGAUUACGUCCCUGCCCUUUGUACACACCGCCCGUCGCUACUACCGAUUGGAUGGUUUAGUGAGAUCCUCGGAUUGGUCCCGGCGCGGCCUCUGGUCGUGCCGGAGGGCCGAAAAGAAUGUCGAACUUGAUCAUCUAGAGGAAGUAAAAGUCGUAACA